AUUGAACGCUGGCGGCAUGCUUUACACAUGCAAGUCGAACGGUAACAGGCCGCAAGGUGCUGACGAGUGGCGAACGGGUGAGUAAUGCAUCGGAACGUGCCCAAUCGUGGGGGAUAACGCAGCGAAAGCUGUGCUAAUACCGCAUACGAUCUGUGGAUGAAAGCGGGGGACACGCAAGGGCCUCGCGCGAUUGGAGCGGCCGAUGUCAGAUUAGGUAGUUGGUGAGGUAAAGGCUCACCAAGCCAACGAUCUGUAGCUGGUCUGAGAGGUCGACCAGCCACACUGGGACUGAGACCCGGCCCAGACUCCUACGGGAGGCAGCAGUGGGGAAUUUUGGACAAUGGGGGCAACCCUGAUCCAGCAAUGCCGCGUGCAGGAAGAAGGCCUUCGGGUUGUAAACUGCUUUUGUACGGAACGAAACGGUCUGGGUUAAUACCCUGGGCUAAUGACGGUACCGUGAGAAUAAGCACCGGCUAACUACGUGCCAGCAGCCGCAGUAA
rnacentral:rRNA from 1 species